UGAAUGUUUCUGUGUGUUUAUUUGAACAGUCCAUCAUUGAGAAGGUAGAGGAGGUCAGGGCAUCGUGGCAACACAAUGUGAUUGAAUGGCAGAGGUGGCUAAAAAGGAUCCAACACAACAAAUACUAUGACAAGUGGGCAGAGGUAACGGCUGUACACUGCCAUUAUAAAACCCAGAAGAACGCUGUGGUCUCCUCCGCUGGAAGCCUCAUAUGCUGCCUGGGCAAUUGCUCUGUCCACAUCUCACAUUUUAACCUGCGCGCCAAGGCAAAUCAGACUUAGCCUGCUGCUCGAGACUUCGCCCGAUCAUGUUUCCUUGCUGUUGAUCCACUUCUGCUGUCAACUGUGCAACACAAUUUCAUCAUUUUUUCCACUGGUUUGGUUUGCUGGAAAAUCAUCAGCACUGAAGAACAACAAGAGUCAUCCUUCAAGGAAAUAGUAAAGGAACCUGUGAAUGAUUUCCUCUUCUCUGAAGUGUAGUCAGUUGACCAGGGGUCAGCGUCUGGGGCCUUAUGAGUUACUUCCUCCUCAACUGCAAGUCACUGAAUGGACAAUCACAAGCACAAGUGGAGCUGUAAGCUACAAUCAGCCUGCUGUUUAAUGGUCUCUUUAUUGACUGUGAAGCUGUGGGAAAUGUGGGUUACAUAAGAGUGGGAACAGCAAUGUUUAUACAUGUCAUUACUAAAUUUCUGGCAAAUGUUAUGGAGCUGAAUGUUAUUGAUAAGGAAAGCACUUGGAGGUGUUUCAGUCUAUAAAUGCUUGCACUUAAGAGUGUUAAUGCUGUAGGAGUGUUUGGGUGCCUGGAGCUCAGGUGGUAGAUCAAAUAGAUAAGAUAGUUAUAUAAACCAGAAACCUAAGGACCUGCCAACCCACACAGGGUUUAGGUUAGAAGGAAGUGCACACCCCUGCCUCUGACUUACAAAAUAAAGCCACAGUCACACAGUCAGACACGUAAGCUUUUUGUUUUGACAGGUAGAGCACCAAAACCACAUUGCCAUGUCUUUUCUCUCAGCACUUCUACUGCUGCUGCUGCUGCUUCACAAAGAUGAUAAUUUCAUUUCUGAAGCGUCAGUUUUAACAGUGUUCAUGCCUACAAAAUGCCACAGGUUGCUUUAGCUAGUUUGUACAUUUUUAUUUCAGUUCUUUUUGUGACUUUCCAGAGAUCUGACAAUUAACUCCUGACUGCAAUGCUGCGAGGUUCUUCUACCAAAAUCACAACCCACUUCAUGCAGAAAAGAAGACAACAUUGUUUAACAUCAUCAAUACUUACAAAAGUAAUUUUAGUAAUAUAAUAGAGCACUGCCUGUGUCUCAUUUAAUGUUUCUGCCUCUGCUGGGUGUCAGCAGGGAAAAGGUGAACAACUCACAAACAGUUUGAGAGCAAUACAGUCUGUAGUCUGAAUAGGCAAUACUGUAGUAAAUAGGGUGAUGACACGACAAAAAGAAAAUAAAAUUUAUUUUGUAGACACAAAUAUGUUUAAUUUAGCCAACUGUGCACAUAAAAUUUAAAAGUGAACUUUAAAAGUGCAAGUGGAAACCUCACACCAAAACAGAAAAUGCAUCCUUGAAUUUGUCUGUUGUGCAGACUUCAGUCAGAACGAAUAGGACAUGGAGCAAAUGGGAUGGAAGCUUUGAGUCCAGUGCCAUCCAACCACUGAUGAUAGCUACAGCCCCUUGUACAGUCCAAACUACUGUGGUAUGUAUGGUACUUAUCGUAUGAGCCCACCAACUGCCCAGCACUAUUUGUAAAUAUGUCCAAAGAAAUUCUGCAUGUGUGUAAUAAACUUAAGUGUAAUAUUGCA